rnacentral:rRNA from 1 species
UGUGUAUCAGUACAUGGCAUAUCAAUAAGCGGAGGAAAAGAAACUAACAAGGAUUCCCCUAGUAACGGCGAGUGAAGCGGGAAGAGCUCAAAUUUGAAAUCUUCAAGGGUUUCCCUUGACGAAUUGUAGUUUAAAGAAGUGUUUUCUGUUAGAGAGGUGGUAAAAGUUCUUUGGAAUAGGACAUCAUAGAGGGUGAGAAUCCCGUAUUUGAUCACUUUCUACUAACGUUGUGAUACACUUUCAAAGAGUCGGAUUGUUUGGGAAUGCAGUCCAAAAUGGGUGGUAAAUUUCAUCUAAAGCUAAAUAUUGGCGAGAGACCGAUAGCGAACAAGUACCGUGAGGGAAAGAUGAAAAGAACUUUCGAAAAGAGAGUUAAACAGUACGUGAAAUUGUCAAAAGGGAAGCGUUUGACACCAGUGUUGUUUUCUCGAAAAUCAAUUAAAAAUGACCGGGAUUUUGUGUUGUAUUGACUUUAUCAGACUUUUCUUCUGCACUUUUUUCUUGUCUUUUUUAAUGCACUUUUCGUUUAACAAGUCAACAUCAAUUUCUUUUGCUGUAAAAGAGUCAUUGGUAGGUGGCUUUCUUUCCGGAGAAAGUGUUUAUAGCCUUUGACUUCUGCAGUCGGAGAGAUUGAGGUCUGCAGCGUAGAUCCUUCGGGGUUAGAUACAUUUGUGCUAAGCUAUAGCCUUUCAUAGACAACUUGUUGACUAUGAUCAGUCAUGUAGCUUACUCGCUUAUGCUAUUUUACCUACGCUUAGGAUGUUGACUGAUAUGUAGUCGUA